rnacentral:rRNA from 1 species
ACUUAAGUGUUGUUGGGUAGGGGAGCGUUCUGUAAGCCUGUGAAGGUGGCCUGUGAGGGUUGCUGGAGGUAUCAGAAGUGCGAAUGCUGACAUAAGUAACGAUAAAGCGGGUGAAAAGCCCGCUCGCCGGAAGACCAAGGGUUCCUGUCCAACGUUAAUCGGGGCAGGGUGAGUCGACCCCUAAGGCGAGGCCGAAAGGCGUAGUCGAUGGGAAACGGGUUAAUAUUCCCGUACUUGGUGUUACUGCGAAGGGGGGACGGAGAAGGCUAUGUUGGCCGGGCGACGGUUGUCCCGGUUUAAGCGUGUAGGCUGGUUUUCCAGGCAAAUCCGGAAAAUCAAGGCUGAGGCGUGACGACGAGGCACCACGGUGCUGAAGCAACAAAUGCCCUGCUUCCAGGAAAAGCCUCUAAGCAUCAGGUAACACGAAAUCGUACCCCAAACCGACACAGGUGGUCAGGUAGAGAAUACCAAGGCGCUUGAGAGAACUCGGGUGAAGGAACUAGGCAAAAUGGUGCCGUAACUUCGGGAGAAGGCACGCUGACACGUAGGUGAAGUGAUUUACUCAUGGAGCUGAAGUCAGUCGAAGAUACCAGCUGGCUGCAACUGUUUAUUAAAAACACAGCACUGUGCAAACACGAAAGUGGACGUAUACGGUGUGACGCCUGCCCGGUGCCGGAAGGUUAAUUGAUGGGGUUAUCCUCGCGGAGAAGCUCCUGAUCGAAGCCCCGGUAAACGGCGGCCGUAACUAUAACGGUCCUAAGGUAGCGAAAUUCCUUGUCGGGUAAGUUCCGACCUGCACGAAUGGCGUAAUGAUGGCCAGGCUGUCUCCACCCGAGACUCAGUGAAAUUGAACUCGCUGUGAAGAUGCAGUGUACCCGCGGCAAGACGGAAAGACCCCGUGAACCUUUACUAUAGCUUGACACUGAACAUUGAGCCUUGAUGUGUAGGAUAGGUGGGAGGCUUUGAAGCGUGGACGCCAGUCUGCGUGGAGCCAACCUUGAAAUACCACCCUUUAAUGUUUGAUGUUCUAACGUGGACCCGUUACCCGGGUUGCGGACAGUGUCUGGUGGGUAGUUUGACUGGGGCGGUCUCCUCCCAAAGAGUAACGGAGGAGCACGAAGGUUGGCUAAUCCUGGUCGGACAUCAGGAGGUUAGUGCAAUGGCAUAAGCCAGCUUGACUGCGAGCGUGACGGCGCGAGCAGGUGCGAAAGCAGGUCAUAGUGAUCCGGUGGUUCUGAAUGGAAGGGCCAUCGCUCAACGGAUAAAAGGUACUCCGGGGAUAACAGGCUGAUACCGCCCAAGAGUUCAUAUCGACGGCGGUGUUUGGCACCUCGAUGUCGGCUCAUCACAUCCUGGGGCUGAAGUAGGUCCCAAGGGUAUGGCUGUUCGCCAUUUAAAGUGGUACGCGAGCUGGGUUUAGAACGUCGUGAGACAGUUCGGUCCCUAUCUGCCGUGGGCGCUGGAGAACUGAGGGGGGCUGCUCCUAGUACGAGAGGACCGGAGUGGACGCAUCACUGGUGUUCGGGUUGUCAUGCCAAUGGCACUGCCCGGUAGCUAAAUGCGGAAGAGAUAAGUGCUGAAAGCAUCUAAGCACGAAACUUGCCCC